GAUGAACGCUGGCGGCGUGCCUAAUACAUGCAAGUCGAGCGAACGGACGAGAAGCUUGUUUCUCUGAUGUUAGCGGCGGACGGGUGAGUAACACGUGGAUAACCUACCUAUAAGACUGGGAUAACUUCGGGAAACCGGAGCUAAUACCGGAUGAUAUUUUGAACCGCAUGGUUCAAAAGUGAAAGACGGUCUUGCUGUCACUUAUAGAUGGAUCCGCGCUGCGUUAGCUAGUUGGUAAGGUAACGGCUUACCAAGGCAACGAUGCAUAGCCGACCUGAGAGGGUGAUAGGCCACACUGGAACUGAAACACGGUCCAGACUCCUACGGGAGGCAGCAGUAGGGAAUCUUCCGCAAUGGGCGAAAGCCUGACGGAGCAACGCCGCGUGGGUGAUGAAGGUCUUCGGAUCGGAAAACUCUGUUAUUAGGGAAGAACAUAUGUGUAAGUAACUGUGCACAUCUUGACGGUACCUAAUCAGAAAGCCACGGCUAACUACGUG
rnacentral:rRNA from 1 species